GCCGGAGUGGUGAAACUGGUAGACGCAGAGGACUCAAAAUCCUCCGAACGCAAGUUCGUGUCGGUUCAAUUCCGACCUCCGGCACCA
rnacentral:tRNA from 1 species